AGGGCACCACCAGGAGUGGAGCCUGUGGCUUAAUUUGACUCAACACGGGAAACCUCACCAGGCCCAGACACUAGAAGGAUUGACAGAUUGAGAGCUCUUUCCUGAUUUGGUGGAUGGUGGUGCAUGGCCGUUCUUAGUUGGUGGAGUGAUUUGUCUGGUUAAUUCCGAUAACGAACGAGACCCCAGCCUAUUAAAUAGGCACGCGGAUCAGAGCUUCCCGCAUUGUCUUCUUAGAGGGACAAGGCAGCUUCAAGCUCGCAUGAAACGGGGCCAAUAACACGGUCUGUGAUGCCCCUCUACCCAUGUUCCUGGGCCGAACACCGCCCCUCACCCAUCCCCCACACCCGCCCCCCCUGUUCUUUCCCUGGGCCUUGGAAUAAAAACCUGGGGUAAACCCAAUUCAAAACUUUUUUUCAUGAUUGGGAUAGAGGUUUGCAAUUAUCUCUUUCCAUUAAACGAAGAAUUUCCAGUUAAGUGCAAAUUUUAAGCCCUGGUGCCUGAAUUACNUUCCUGCCCCUU
rnacentral:rRNA from 1 species